GUAGGGAAUAUUGGGCAAUGGUCGGAAGACUGACCCAGCCAUGCCGCGUGCAGGAAGACGGCCCUCUGGGUUGUAAACUGCUUUUAUCUGGGAAGAAAAAGGCCAUGCGUGGCAAAUUGCCGGUACCAGAUGAAUAAGCACCGGCUAACUCCGUGCCAGCAGCCGCGGUAAUACGGAGGGUGCGAGCGUUGUCCGGAUUUAUUGGGUUUAAAGGGUGCGUAGGCGGCUGAUUAAGUCAGCGGUGAAAGACUUCGGCUUAACCGGAGCAGUGCCGUUGAUACUGGUUGGCUUGAGUGUCGGAGGGGUAAAUGGAAUUGAUGGUGUAGCGGUGAAAUGCAUAGAUACCAUCAGGAACACCGAUAGCGAAGGCAUUGUACUGGCCGACAACUGACGCUGAUGCACGAAAGUGUGGGGAUCGAACAGGAUUAGAAACCCGGGUAGUCC
rnacentral:rRNA from 1 species